CGCCAUUUUUUUCUUUCACUACUUCGUAGGGUAAGUAGUGUAAAUGGCGCCCUACAUUAUCCUAAUUAUCUGGGCUAAAAACACCCAUCCAGCUGAUAUGUUCAGUGAUUGUGUUUAUUAAGACGUUAACCUAGGCCUAGGUGUGAGUUUGAGAAGUAAGCGAGAGUGUUUUUGUAUGUAAAUAUUGGCCGUAAUGUUGACUAGCUUGCUGUGUACGAGCAGAGCACCCAUUAAGUGGAAAUAGUACAGGAUGAAGAAUAAGCUUUUCGUUUAUUGUCUGCUAUCGGUCCUGUUAUGUCAUUUAAUUUAUUUUUACACUAAAUUAUAUGUUAAGAGUGCCUUAUGUAAUUUCAACAUGCAGUAAUUUGUUAUUUUCUCGAAUUUUUAUUUUGUACUAUUUAUUUUGGCAUGAGGACAUAUUUUCUAAAAAAAAGUUUACUUUCACUACUUCGUGAGGUCAUGGAGCCAGCAGCCAGUAUAGCGGACCAGCAACAGAGAUGAAAGCUGUCAUUGUGAGCCAAUGAAGUGUCCCCAGGUCUCAACCACAAUCCAGAACCCCUGUGUCGUGCGUCUCCUUCUCUCCGCACGCCACCCCAUCUCACACUGAUAAACACAACGCAGAGUCCCCGGGUGUGUCGAGAGGCUACGGCACGUUCAGGAUGCACCAAAAGAUGCCUUAAGGACAGACUUUCAGAACACAAAUAUGUGAUCAGAACCCAGAAUGUGGACUACCCCAUGGCCAAACACUUCAAAGAGGAUAUUUCCUGAGUACUUGGAGAGGCAUGCCAUUUUAAACAUGGCUUCUCAUUGUGAUCCAUUUCCUGUCAAACACCUGCGUUCACUCAAUAAUCAGGAUUGGGUGACACCCCUGCCAAGUUUAUAAAAUGUUUGCCUGUUGUUUGUUCACCCCUGUACCCUGAUGAAGACCAUUAUGAUUGAAACAGGUCGGUUUUUUAAUUGUAAGUAGCCAUGUUGAAUAAAGACUUUUUCACUUAA